CUUUACUGUAGCUUUGCAUUGGACUUUGAAUCGGUCUGUGUAGGAUAGAUGGGAGGCUGUGAAACCGGGACGCUAGUUUCGGUGGAGCCAACCUUGAAAUACCACCCUGAUUUAUUUGAGGUUCUAACCUUGAUCCGUGAAUCCGGAUCGGGGACCGUGCAUGGUGGGCAGUUUGACUGGGGCGGUCUCCUCCCAAAAGGUAACGGAGGAGUACGAAGGUACGCUUAGGGCGGUCGGACAUCGCCCAUAAAGUGCAAUGGCAAAAGCGUGCUUGACUGCGAGACCCACAAGUCGAGCAGGUGCGAAAGCAGGUCAUAAUGAUCCGGUGGUUCUGUAUGGAAGGGCCAUCGCUCAACGGAUAAAAGGUA
rnacentral:rRNA from 1 species